rfam:Enterococcus sp. 2G9_DIV0600 scaffold00001, whole genome shotgun sequence.
AGCAAGACAAUGUUCAAGAGGAGUAUCAGUGACCCUGGCGGUCAGAGAGAAGUCGGUCGGUGCAAGACUUCCCCAGACACUGAAAAGGUAGCUUGAAGGUCUUUGAUCCGAACCACGGUUUGUUUCUUGCAGACAAAGCCGCACAGUAAGAUCAAGCGCGUCGUGAACGUUACCUCACGUCAAAGUGGCAGAGCAAUCUGCAAUUUAGGUGGUACCGCGUAUCAGCGCCCUAAUG